UUGGAGAAAUGUCUAUUUGGGUUUUCUACCCAUUUUUUGAUUGGGCUGGAUUUGUUGUUGUUGAUUUGUGUGAGUUGUUUGUAUAUUUUGGAGAUUAAGCCCUUGCUAGUUGCAUUAUUUGCAACUAUUUUCUCCCAUUCUAUAUGUAGUCUUUUUGCUUUUGUUUUUUAAAUGGUUUCCUUUGCUGUGCAAAAGCUUGCAAAUUUUUAGUUCCCAUCGGUUUAUUUUUGUUUUUAUUUCUUUUGCCUUGGGAGUUUAACCUGAUAAAAUGCUUGUACAGUUUAUAUCAGAGAAUGUUUUGCUUCUGUUCUCUUCCAGGAGAUUUAUGGUGUCAUAUCUUAUGUCUAAGUCUUUGAGCCAUUUGGCGUUUAUUUUUGUGCAUGGUGUGAGUGUAUAUUCUAGGUUUAUUGAUUUACAUGCCGCUGUCCAGUUUUCCCAGUACUGCCUGCUGAAGAGAUGGUCUUUACCUGUUUUAUAUUUUUCCUCCUUUGUCAAAGAUUAAUUGACAGAUUAAUUAACCCAGUAGGUGUCUGGGUUUAUUUCUGAGCUCUCUAUUCUGUUACAUUGAUCCGUAUGUCUGUUUUUGUACCAAUACCACACUUUCUUGAUUACAGUAUCUUUAUAAGAUUGUCUGAAGUCUGGGAGAAUUAUGCCUUCUGAUUUUUUUUCCCCUUAGGAUUGCUUUUCUGGGUCAUUUACGGUUCCCUUAAAUUUUUGGAUUAUUUAUUCUAGUUCUGUGAAAAAAACGUCAAGUGUAAUUUGAUAGGGAUCACAUUAAAUCUGUAGAUUGCUUUGGGUGGUAUGGCCAUUUUAACAAUAGUAGUUCUUCAAAUCCAGGAGCAUGGGAUAUCUUUCCAUCUCUUUGAAUCCUCUUUAAUUUUCUUGUUUAAUGUUUGAUAGUUCUCAGAAUAUAAACUUUCACCUCCUUGGUCAGGUUUCUUUGUAGGUAUUUUAUUUCUUUGGGUUUUGAUUUUAAAAGUUGCUGUUUUUUAAUAUUCCCUUUCUAAUAUUUCAUUGUUAAUAUGCAGAAAUGCAACCAAUUUCUGAAUGUUAACCUUGUAUCCUGCUACUUUGAUGAAUUCAUUGAUUGGAUCAAGUACUUUGUGUGUGGUGUCUUUAGGGUUUUCUAAAUUAUAGUAUCAUGCCAUCUGCAUACAGUGAGAAUUUUGCCACUCCAAUUUGGAUAACUUUUACUUCUUUUUUCUUUUUAUCUUAUUGCUGUGGCUAGGACUUCCAACACUAUGUUGAAUGAAAGUGGUGAGAGUGGGCAUUCUUAUCUUCUUUGAGAUUUUAGAGGGACAUUUCAUGACAGCUCUUGUCUCUGCAAAUGAAUUUUCUAAUUAUUCUUAGCUCCUCCUUAUAGCUCCCAGUAUUUAUUUAUUUAUUGCUUUUUUUCUUAAUGAAUUUUAUUACAUUUACAGGUAUACAACAAUCAUCACAACCAAACCCUACAGCAUGUCCAUCCCAAACCCUCAGUACAUCCCACCACCCCUCAGCCUGUCUCAUUGGGAAACCAUGAGUUUUUCAAAGUCUGUGAGUCAGUAUCUGUUCUGCAGAGAAGUUCAUUGUUUCCUUUUUUUAGAUUCCAUGUGUCAGUGAUAGCAUUUGAUGUUAGUGUUUCAUUGUCUGACUGACUUCACUUAGCAUGAUAAUUUCUAGCUCCAUCCAUGUUGCUAAAAAUGCUGGUAUUUCGUUCCUUUUAAUGGCUGAGUAAUAUUCCAUUGUGUAUAUGUACCACUUCUUCUUGAUCCACUCCUCUGUCAAUGGACAUUUAGGUUGUUUCCAGGUAUGGCUAUUGAAAAUAGUGUUGCAAUGAACAUUGGAGCACAUAGUUGCUUUUGAGUCAUGGUUUUCUCUGGAUAGAUGGCCAGGAGUGGGAUUGCUGGAUCAAAAGGUAGUUCUAUGUUUAGUUUUCUGAGGCAUCACCAUACUGUUUUACACAGUGGCUGCACCAAUUUACAAUCCCACCAGCAGUGUACUAGGGUUCCUUUUUCUCCACACCCUCUCCAGCACUUAUUGUUUGCAGACUUUGAUGAUGGCCAUUCUGGCUGGUGUAAGGUGGUACCUCAUCAUGGUUUUGAUUUGCAUGUCUCUAAUCAUGAGUGAUGGUGAACAUCUUUUUAUUCAUGGUUUCAAUUUCAGUACUUGUGAUUGGUCUGUUCAUCUUUUCUAUUUCAUCUUGGUUUAGUCUUGGAAGAUUGUACUUUUCUACAAAUUUGUCCUUUUCUUCUAGGUUUUCUGUUUUAUUGGCGUUUAGGUGCAUAUAGUGGUUUCUUAUGCUCUUUUGAAUUUCUGUGAUG
ensembl:lncRNA